rnacentral:rRNA from 1 species
ACGGGGGGUGCAAGCGUUGUUCGGAAUCAUUGGGCGUAAAGCGCGCGCAGGCGGCUUGGUAAGUCAGAUGUGAAAUCCCUGGGCUUAACCCAGGAAGUGCAUUUGAUACUGCCUCGCUAGAGUACGGGAGAGGAAAGUGGAAUUCCAGGUGUAGCGGUGGAAUGCGUAGAUAUCUGGAAGAACACCAGCGGCGAAGGCGGCUCUCUGGCCUAGGACUGACGCUGAAGCGCGAAAGCGUGGGGAUCGAACAG